CAGGACGAACGCUGGCGGCGUGCCUAAUACAUGCAAGUCGAACGGUCUUUCUAUGGAAGCUUGCUUCCACUGAAAAGAUAGUGGCGAACGGGUGAGUAACACGUGGGUAACCUGCCCAUAAGAGGGGGGAUAACAUCCGGAAACGGGUGCUAAUACCGCAUAGUUUUCUUGAUCGCAUGAUCGGGAAAGGAAGGACGGCCUUUGUGCUGUCGCUUAUGGAUGGACCCGCGGCGUAUUAGUUAGUUGGUGAGGUAACGGCUCACCAAGACGAUGAUACGUAGCCGACCUGAGAGGGUGAUCGGCCACAUUGGGACUGAGACACGGCCCAAACUCCUACGGGAGGCAGCAGUAGGGAAUCUUCCGCAAUGGACGAAAGUCUGACGGAGCAACGCCGCGUGAGUGAAAGAAGGUUUUCGGAUCGUAAAACUCUGUUGUCAGAGAAGAACAAGUUGGAGAGUAACUGCUCCAGCCUUGACGGUAUCUGACCAGAAAGCCACGGCUAACUACGUGCCAGCCGCCGC
rnacentral:rRNA from 1 species